rnacentral:misc_RNA from 1 species
UCAUAACCCAAAAAUAUAUAAUGAUGCAUGCACCUGGCUUCUUGCUGGGCUGUAUGUACCCUGGCUUGGUGGUUAUUACCCUAGGCUUCAGUGGUUGAUAUUUUCUUGACCGGGGUACCUAGCCUGUCGUAUGCCCUGAUGGUGUUCUCGUAACUUUCGGGUUGCCUGAWCUGCCAAGGGCGAUGGGACAGUGCAUGACGCUAUUGUUGUGUGCUAGGUUCAAAGAGAAUUGUAUGCUAUAUGCAUGCAAAUCCGCCCCGUUAUUGUUCCUAUUUCAAACUUUUACACUGUUGAAGCGAUCCGGUUUGGCUUGCCAUUCACGGGUUUNCUGCCUGGCAUGCACCUGGCUUCGUGCUGGACUGCAUGUACGCUGGCUUAGCGGUAAAUAUCCUAGNCUGCAGCGUUAACCAUUAGUUCUAUGCAUUUGGGAAACCAAUGUAUGGGAUUAUUGGCGUA